rnacentral:rRNA from 1 species
GCCUGGUUUAUAGCGCGUUGAAUACACCGAUCACUGAAGCUAAGCAACGUCGCGCGCGGUCAGUACUUGGAUGGGUGACCGCCUGGAAACACCGCGUGACGUUGGCU